GGUGAUCUAGCCAUGGGCAGGUUGAAGGUUGGGUAACACUAACUGGAGGACCGAACCGACUAAUGUUGAAAAAUUAGCGGAUGACCUGUGGCUGGGGGUGAAAGGCCAAUCAAACCGGGAGAUAGCUGGUUCUCCCCGAAAGCUAUUUAGGUAGCGCCUCGUGAAUUCAUCUCCGGGGGUAGAGCACUGUUUCGGCUAGGGGGCCAUCCCGGCUUACCAACCCGAUGCAAACUGCGAAUACCGGAGAAUGUUAUCACGGGAGACACACGGCGGGUGCUAACGUCCGUCGUGAAGAGGGAAACAACCCAGACCGCCAGCUAAGGUCCCAAAGUCAUGGUUAAGUGGGAAACGAUGUGGGAAGGCCCAGACAGCCAGGAUGUUGGCUUAGAAGCAGCCAUCAUUUAAAGAAAGCGUAAUAGCUCACUGGUCGAGUCGGCCUGCGCGGAAGAUGUAACGGGGCUAAACCAUGCACCGAAGCUGCGGCAGCGA
rnacentral:rRNA from 1 species